rnacentral:rRNA from 1 species
GAUGAACGCUAGCUACAGGCUUAACACAUGCAAGUCGAGGGGAAACGAUGAGAGAGCUUGCUCUCUUAGUCGUCGACCGGCGCACGGGUGAGUAGCGCGUAUCCAACCUGCCUCUGACCAAGGGAUAACCCGUCGAAAGUCGGACUAAUACCUUAUGCAGUCGUCGGAAGUCAUCUGAUGACGACGAAAGAUUUCAUCGGUGAGAGAUGGGGAUGCGUCUGAUUAGCUUGUUGGCGGGGUAACGACCCACCAAGGCGACGAUCAGUAGGGGUUCUGAGAGGAAGGUCCCCCACAUUGGAACUGAGACACGGUCCAAACUCCUACGGGAGGCAGCAGUGAGGAAUAUUGGUCAAUGGGCGUAAGCCUGAACCAGCCAAGUAGCGUGCAGGAUGACGGCCCUAUGGGUUGUAAACUGCUUUUAUGCGGGGAUAAAGUGAGGGACGUGUCCUUCAUUGCAGGUACCGCAUGAAUAAGGACCGGCUAAUUCCGUG